rnacentral:misc_RNA from 1 species
AACCUUAUGGACCUGCGGGCGUAUACCUGCGGAAGGAUCAUUACAGAGUUAUCUAACUCCCAAACCCAUGUGAACUUACCUUUGUUGCCUCGGCAGUAGUUGCUGGGCGAGCCUACCCGGGAACGAGCUACCCUGUAGCGAGUUACCCUGGGACGACUUACCCUGUAACGCCUGCCGGUGGACUACUAAACUCUUGUUAUUUUUAAGUAAUCUGAGCGUCUUAUUUUAAUAAGUCAAAAC